GCCCCCCGCUCCCCCCGGCGUGCGGGAGGAACAAUAACACUUAAUCACAUCUAACGGGGUGAAACGGGGAGGCUCCGGCCCCGGCAGCCGGGUGGGUGCUGGGGGAGGCAGGGAAGCAGCAAAAACUUCAAGGGAUCGCCAGCGAAACGGCCUUUUAUUUUUUUUCUUUUCCCCGUUUCUGAAGCUGAACGUUGGAGAAAACAAUACCCAACCCUUCUGCCAGCAGUAUAGGGGGGAAAAAAUUACCUUUAGGAAUCCUGCGAAGCGACCCGAGCAGGGAGCGAGCUCUCGUCUUCAAUAACCAGCAGCAGCAUGCGAGUGGACAGGCGCCUUCCCACUGCACUGCCAGCACACCAACCCUCCUGUACCUGGGAGCAAGAGGGAUUUGGGAUGUGAACAGUGGGCGAUGCAUUGUUUCUGAACCAUAAAAGUGAUUUAUUUCAUUGGUAAAUCUCUGUGAGCUGCAGCGCCGCGGCCUUGGGGGCAACGGGCCUGCGGCCGCCCCUGCGCUGGGCAGCGAAGCCCGGCUGCCUCCGCAGCGGGACCACGACCUCCAGCUCCCCAGAAGGAUUACAGCAGCAGGAGAAGGAAAUAUAACCCCCAAAAGCCCGUUUUUUCAGUCAGCUCCAGGAACAGGAUGAAUGUGGCGUGGGGACCAAACCAGGAGUAAACAGCCGUGGUUUGUAAACAGCCCCGGCUGAGGACACGGAGGAAAAGCUCCAGCUUAGAACAAGCCCUGCGUGGUCACGGUGGCUCUGAACAUGCAGGGCCCUAAGAGGCAAAGCUCUUAAAGGCAGCCUUGGUUUGGAGGAGGGACAGAAGGCGUUUCACUGAAAUUAGCCCGUUUUAGAGCCCUUUGGCUGCUCUGUAAAUACAACCACAGCGAGGGCUGGGUUACGUCUUAUUUUAAAACAAAUUAGGUUGAGACAAAAGAGAUGCAAUGAAAGACGAAAUCAAGUAAGUUUAUAAACAGAAGCAUUUCAAAGGCUGCUGGAAAGCUGGAGAAAAUAGGAGAAUUUUGUUUAAAGAAAAGAAAAUCUCUGUUGGUUAUUGCCCAUCGAUUUCAGUGUUCCUGCGAGCAAAAGGAAACUCUUUUGUGCCACCUAAUGUUAAGUACAGAUCACUGUUGUCUUCUUCACUGCCCAUCAUCCAUGGUGAGCGUGGGGAGGCCUCGGGGUGCUGAGCCCAUCAGGGUGGAGCUCAGCAUCCCAAAGUUCAACCAAACCAAGGGCAGAGAGAGAAACUUCAGCUUCACAGUUACCUUCUGAAUUUAGGGAUUUUUUUAAAAAAAGACCUCAGGAGGGGGUGGAGAGAAGCACGGGGUAGAAUCAUAAGAAUGAGAGACUCCAAAUUUGGGCUUUGUUAUAAAAAAGUAGCUCCAGAACGAGCACAUCCAGGGUUUACAUAAGCUGCCCACCACCAAGCUCCAUCUCAGCAGCCUCUGGGCUUGGGGGAGCUUCUCCCUCCGCUCUCCUCAAGAACCCAAGUGGCCUGGCCUUUGCACACCCGUGUCUCCCAGCUGGAAGAAUUUUGGUGUGUACUUAGCAGCCAUUCACAUUAAUUUAGUAUGUAAAUAUCUCACACAAUCCUUUAAAGAAAGGGCUGAAAGCAAGCGUUUCUCUGAAAACAAUAAAUUGCACUGGUUUUGUGAUUUUAAUGGUGAGUGUUAAACAUCUUUAGCAAUUUUUGAGGCUGAAUCUUCCAUACUUUUCAUGUUAUACUAAAAAAAAAAAGAAACAGAGGCUUCCUUUGGGUUAAAUUUUAAAUGCUUGUAAGCUGUGCUCUUUAAAGAUGGCCAGGACAUGGGAGAGGGUUCUCUUGGAAGCAAAAAAUUACUAAAAGUAAGCAGAGGUGCCAUUCAUUAUAGAUCAUUCAAAAUAUGGACUAGUCAAUCCAUAUCUAGACUAUAUUUGACCAAGAUGUUUUAAAAAUCUCUUAAAAUCAAGUAUUUUGAUUUUUCCUUUCUGUAUUUUUAGGUAAGAGCAACCUGGUCUUCUCGGGCUACAUCCAUGUACCAAAACCACCACUGAUUUUAGGGCAGAUCCACAUGUGGAUGGAGGCACAUUUAAAACCUCAGUCCUUCCCCCAGGAGCACAUGGGGCUGGGGGUGGAUGCCCUGAUCCCAAAACCCAGACAAAAUUCAUUCCUUUACUCACCAGAGCAGCUUCUCUGUAAUCCAGUAAGCUCACGCAAAUGGAGUUAUUAAUUAGUCCUUGCACAAUUGAAUUCCAAAGUUCCAUCCUAGAAAAAAAAAAAAAUAUACAAUAUUUCAGGCAGGUGACCGAUCCCGCUCAAUAUCACCCCAAAAAACCCACAGACAUCAGGGCCUACAUUUGUACUCCCUUUCCCCUUUUUCCAACAUCCUGUAACCAAUAGACUGGAAAGGCUCCACAGCAAUUACAUAUUUAGGAUAUGUGAUAGCUGCAGUUAAGAUCUUUACGACUGAUUGCAGGAUAAAAUUUACUUCAAAUGUGCAAGAGCCCAUUUUUAAACCUCAGUCUUUCAGCUGCUUUGCAUUAUAGAUAUUCCAAAGAAUCAAAAGCAAUUAGAGCGCACAAAGUCUAAAUGGUAAAUAAUUUCCAAAUCAAAACCUUUAUUAAAGCAAUAAGCAUCUAUUUUUGUUAACACUGUAAGAGAUGGAAAGGGCCAAAGUAAAGAACUUUUGGUUUAAUGUCAUGGAGAGAAAGUCAGAUAUCUAUGCUGAAGAGCAGUGUAAGAAAUCUCACCCCAAGUGGGUUUUGGGUUGAGUUUGAAACACUUGGGAAAGCAGGACAAGCAAAAGGAUUUAAAACUCCCAUUUUCUGUGGUGGGAAUGAGUAGGGAUGGUUUGCACACGCCUGAGAUGGGAUCUGUAGGUGGAUCCGUGGCUCCCGAUUCCCAGCGAGCGCCUCGGCGGCUUGCAAAUAUUUGUAGAAUCACGUCCUUAAUUAGAGUGGUAAAACACUAUUAAAUCUUGGGAUGGGAGAGAAAGAGCAGAGCGAGGAAGAGCUGUCACUGGUGAGAGCCUGUCAACAAGAAGUUAAAAAGCCAAUGGUAAAUCUCAUUUCUGGGAGCUCUGGGUUUGCGGAGCCAUCGACCGGCGGCUCUGGGCUCGGCGGCUCCUGAUCGAUGUUCUGCUGGCACAGAGCACCAUGCCGAGGAGCCGUGGUCUGCUGAAGGAGCUUUGAAAAUGGGGGUAUUUCAAACAGGGACUGUGAAAAGCUGUGCAGCAGCUCUCCUCACCCCUGGUGUUAUUUAGACACCCAAAAUGCUGCUCCAUUAUUCCCUCGCUGGAUUUUAUUUUAUUUUUUUUUAAACGAUGCCAGUCCUUGAUUUCUGUGCUUUGAGUACAAAUAAUAUUUAUCCAGCAUAGAAGCACCAUUUCUGAACCCAAGUUGUUUUCCUUUUUGGCCAAAGCAUGAAGUUUUGUUUUGCAUAUUCAUCUUCAGACUUUGGGAAGGAAAAAUCAAAUCAAAUCAGCCGACAGACCUUACUCACCAAAAAAUGGCUGGGGGAGAUGAGAGUGUCUGAGCUCCCCUGCCAUCCCUGAAGGGCAACUGGAGGUAACACGAGCUGCUCCCCAUCCAGGGCUUGUACUUCUGUCCAGAUUAUGGGAUUAGUCUCUGUUACAUCUAUCUACAGUUGGGAACUUGUGAUCCAGUUAAAGCAGCUUGAAAGGCGCCCAGCAGGUGCUGGGGGUCCAACUCUGCGGCACAAAUUCUGUGAGUUACGGGGGCAAAGCAGGGCUGGCCUUAUGCCGGGCUUCCCGAGGCUCCACACAGCUAGGGGAGACAGGGAAAAAAUCAAAAUCCUGCCAGAAAGCACUCCCAGACAGGGAAAAUCACCCACAGCCUCUUUUUUCCACCCUAAAUCUUGAAGUGGAGUUGCUAACGCUUAAAUACAAACACUGUCAGACGUGAGUUGAUGAUUCUUUGCUGCUCCACACACAUCACACGGACACAGGGGAUCUCCUACACCUCAGAAAUGCUAAUUUAGCUCUGGAAUUCUGAGUUUGCAGAAACUGUCCUGUAAAUGUCAUGGGAGAUUACCAAAUCUACAAAGAUUAUAGCUCUGCAUACAUUCAGACUAUUGAUUUAAAACUUUAUUAUCUUUGAUACAAAUUCUUCACAAAGGAAACAAUUCAGCAGUGGGAAUUCUGUCCAUGUCAAGCUUUUGCAGGGUUGAAUCCUUCUGUACAAAUCCUGUUUUCAAUAGAGUGGGCAGAUCUCUGUAGGUGAUGCUACACAAACCCAACACAGCACCUUAUAAACACAAAAUUCUGCCCUGCUCAACCCAAACUUCUGCCAACUGCAGCAGAGAGAGGAUGUAACACACUCCCAGUUAUUCAGCCAUGAGGAGUUUUUAAUGGAAAAUAUAAUGGUGUGGGGCUUACUCUCGUAUGUUCUUCAUAGUGUAGUAAAGCUGUAGUACAGCCUCAGAAAAUCUGCCUUUGUAACAAGAUCUCUGCAGAAAUGAAUGCAUGGUGAUGUGGCUGGCAGUGGUUUGCUCAGAAAAAUAUGCAGUUGCAUAGUAAGAUAUUUAUAACAGGAUUAGCUUUCAAGUACAAGGCCCAAGUUCAAAGAUUUUUCAGGAUGGUGCACGAGAAAACAACAAACUGAUUUUUUUUGAAUUUACAGUUCUCUGUGGUGGAGAACCUUUGUGGUUAAGCAUCACUUGGAGCUGUCUCAGCUAGACCUGGGAAAAUCGUGGCCCCUUCCCAGCCAUCCCAGGAUGGAAGGCAGAUGAGCACAACAGACACUGGGAAAAGUCCUGGGCUCCCCUCCCUGCGAUCUCCGACUCCAGGGCGUUGGGCACUCAGGGCACAGCAACCUGCACAUCUCACAUCCAUGCUGGCUCUCAGCCCUCCGUGUAGGACUUUUCCUUCCAGGGAAGAAGCCCUGUGGAAUCUCUCUGAAUGCCACUCCUUGGACAGAAACAGUGCUGGAGCAAUUCCAACCCAGUCUGGUGAGAGAGAAUGCCCCUUCCAGGACCUCCAUCCUAAAUCCAGGAAAACACAUCCACCAUUCAUCCUGAGCUGCUGCUACUUCUUGUGGGCACAGGAGAGAUAAAAGGGAUGAGUUCAGUGGGUGCCUAUUUCCAUCCCAGUCACCACGACUGUCUUCCCAGGGGAUUUAUUCCAUGCCAUUUCUUCCUCUUGCCCCAACCUAAGCCAGGAAAAUGCGCUGCAGGAAUUGUAACGCCUCAUAUAUUCCAAGGGAGAGGAUAAUAAACUGGUCUGCUCUGACCUUUUUGGGAUUGGUGCUGUUUGAUCCCUCAUGUCCACAAUGGUGACCUGGGGGACGCCAGGCAGCGAGGCCAGUCCAGCUACAGCACAGUGAAAAGGUUAAAGUCGGUGUUUAUGGGUCUAUUAAAUGUUUAUGAUCUUUCACAGGCCACAUCAGGCAUUAAAAUUAUGAUACCUCGUUCCCAUAACAAACACUGGAAUGAGAAGGGAAAAUGGCAGAGCAUCAGGCUGGUUUGAGGUGCUGCUCUGAGGGCAGUGCUGGCAAUGAGGGCACAAAACCAGCACAAUGUUCACUCAUGGCUGUGGAACAGCCAGAAAGGAAGAGGUGGCAUCACGAGCCUGAGCCGUGCCCAGACUGACAUCGCAGCAGAUGACCCAGCCAAAGGCACCAGCAAUCUCCCUUCCCCAACAGUGACCAGCUGCAGAAAUUGGGAAGCCCAAACAGAGAUCAGACAUGUCCAUCAUCAGUCCUCAGAGGUUUUAAGCUGAAAUGCAAAAAAUGAACCAUUUUGGAGGCUGCCAGCACAGCGCUGUGCUGCUGGGACACCUCUCCUGCUCCACAAGGCUGCUGAGCCACCACGAGCUCCUUGCUUGGCUCUCACAUCUCACAGUGGGCUUUACAGCCCAGUCAAACACUGGGAAUAUUUUUUUAUUUUUAUCUGUUCUAAAGAUAUCACAUCUUGAUUUCCCCAUGUGUCCUAAGAUGCCCGUGGUACAUUAAUGAGUGCCCAUGAACAGGGACAAUUUACAAACAUCCAAACAGCCUCAAAGGUCUCAUUCCACCACUGUAAAACUUCUGGUUGUCACCACAAAUCGCUGGAUUUACACUGAAUUUUCCUGGCAAGAAAAGAAACUUUCUGUCAACUCUAAAGGAUGAAAAAUCUCAGUCUGGAGACAAAACCUCCCAAAUCAGCAGCAGCCCUGGGCUCCUGUGAGCUAGUCAAAGACUGAGCUUGCGGUAACUCCUGCUUAAGAUGAGCUGUGAAAAUAAAAUAUGUAAAAUCAUUAAGUGUAUUAUUUCCUACUAUUACCCCAAACAAAUUACUCUGGAAAAUUACCCUGUUUUUUCAAAAUCAUAUCUGAUCUGAUAGCUGGUAAUGAAAAUAACAGGUCAUUAAAAUGGCAGUUAUUACAAGUGUAUGAAAAGUAAAGCCAAGGCAUCAAAAAUAAUGAUGUCAUGGAUAUUUAUUUUAUUGUCUGCUAUAUUGCUCACAUCCUUUUUUUAUUUGUUUUGUAAUAGAGUAUUAAAAAAUAAAUAUAUGUACAUAAAAUAUUAUCAGUUGCAAAGAAUUAAGAACCUAGUGUAGGUCCCAAGCUAGGAUUAGUAUCACAUAAGUAGAAAUACAUGAUUUAAUGUUAACUAAUAUGUGGUACCUAGCAGGGACUGAGAUACCUGGUCACGGGAGAAGAGGACAGGAAGAACUGGGCUGAUGGUGAGAAAAGCAAACACCGGUGUGGACAAAGGCCAUCGAUGAAGAGCGCACAGCAGCGCUGUUGAGCUGAGCAGGAAAGCUCCUGCUUAGACAGAAACUGAACAUCAUGGGAUGUACCCCAGCAAUGUAUUGUGGAAAUCUCUGGUGUUCCAGCAGCAGCAGGAGGAUCCCGUGGCUGGAUAAUCAGGCACAGGCUCGGUGCUAUCCUGGAGAAGGCGUCGCUCCGCCCGCUCCGGCUGCGGAUUCCGAACAUCCCUGAUUCCCCCUGUGCCUGCCUGGAGAUGCAGGAGACAGGGAGCAACUGGGAAAUCAGCAGAGCAGCAAGCUGAGCACUACAAAUUGGUAAAAAUUAUUUAAUACUGGGAAGCCUAUCUCAUCACCCCUGGUAAUUCUAUCAAUUAAGCAGAUGGAAUUAAUAUUAAUUAUCAACAACGAAUUGUUUGCGAGUGUAAUAAUGAAUGGAGGAAAUAGGAAGAAACACAGCACAUUUAUGAUGCAAAAACGUUGGCUGUUUCUGAAUAUUUCCUCUGGAAUCUCUUUUGGUUCAAUUAAAAAGGACUUUCAUUAAUAUAUUUUCUUAGUGUUUGAGUUGCAAAUCAGCCUGGACAGAUCAGGAAGUGCCACAAAGCAAAUGUAUACACUGAAAUUCUCUCUGAUCCAAGAAGUUACAUUCACUUAAAAAAAAAAACAAAUCGGAAAGCAACCCACAGAGACGCUCAGCAAGAGUAGUCAUCCCUGAAAAAGAGGGAAGAGCAGCACCUGGAAAUAUUUUAACUGGAGAAGCAGUCAUAGGAAUAUCGCUCCCAGCCCGUGCUGAUGCCCAUCAACAGAUUGCAAUAACUUUCUUCUCAUAUUGGGGGAAAAAGAAGACAGAAGGAAAUGCUAAAUCUGUAAGCAAAAAUCCUGAAUCCCAGAGACAUCAUUUAUAAUUAGUUUUCACUAAUAAUUUUGAUUAAUUUCUGCCACUUUGGUCUGCACCUUCACGGUGCCCCCUUGGCAGCUGCUGGGGAGCCUUCUCCUUUGCCAUCAAAGCAGGAGAGACCUUGGUUAUAACACCACUAACAAGGGCAUCAGUUUCUGGAGUGUUUGACAGCGAGAUUUGCACAAAAUAAAUCUUUAGAGGAAUAUUUCCCUCCAGAACAACCUUCCUCCACCCCCGAAAGUUUUCAAAAUACUCCCACUGGCAGAUGGUGCAAACACAGGCAGGUCUACAGGCACGGGAGUUGUUCAUCACCACUCGUGCUGGGGUUUUUGAAACUUGUCACUAAGACCAGAAAUGAAAUUUUCCCUCCUUGGGAUCACUUUGCAGCUCUUCCUUACCUGAAUUGGAAGGUGACGGUGGUUUCUAGGUCAGGAAAGGGAAUUCUAGGUAACUUGUAUAGGCUCUGGGAGAUACAAGACAAGGGAAUAGGGGGCACAGGGGUAGGAACAGCAAUGGAAAAAGGGAUAUAAGCAGUGCCAAUCCUUUUUUUAGAACUGUGUAUAAAAUGAUGG